rnacentral:rRNA from 1 species
UACGUAGGGGGCGAGCGUUGUCCGGAUUCAUUGGGCGUAAAGCGCGCGUAGGCGGCAGGGCAAGUCGGCCGUGAAAUCUCCCAGCUUAACUGGGAGGGGUCGGGCGAGACUGCCCCGCUAGAGGCGGGUAGAGGGCAGUGGAAUUCCGGGUGUAGUGGUGGAAUGCGUAGAGAUCCGGAGGAACACCAGUGGCGAAGGCGGCUGCCUGGGCCUGGCCUGACGCUGAGGCGCGAAAGCGUGGGGAGCGAUCCGG